UCAUCAUUUAGCACCGCUACUCUUCACAAAUCUUCUGUCAAUCCAGAAGAAACUCGAAAUAUCUUAGAUAGAAAAUUUGAAACGAGUUUGUUUUCGUAUACAGAUAAAAUAGAUAUAGAAAGAAAGUUCAGGAUUCUCCGGUUGCAAUAUAUGAGAACCUUCGAGCAGUGAAGAAUCUAUCAGUUCAGCGUAAUGAAGUUGAGACAAGAAAUCAAGCUUAUCAUCGGUCUACUGAGGAACACUUCGAUCUUCAUCAUAUCUAGUUUAACCUACAAAGAAGCAGCUCAAAACAUCAUUUUCUCCCACAAAUGACACCCAAACAACUAAUGCAAUUCAAAUCCCUUCAACCGCGUAGAUGGGAUCUUCUUCCUUACUGGCCGACCGCCAAUUACAUUCGUGUUGUCGUCUUCCUCCUGUUCAGCCACCGCGCUUGUACCCUCAGAUCUGCCCUGCUCCCGUUGAUGGUGAAUGUCAUCCAGGAUUGCCCCUUCAUUCAAGCUCUCUAUCACACAACAAGCUGAAACACGUCGCCUUGGAUCUAUAUUUUGUAAGGGAAAAGGUCGAGGACGGAGGACGGGAACAUUAUGGUCAAACAUAUUUCCGACACGAACCAAUGGGCCGAUAUACUUACAAAGGCACUUCCGCCAAAGGUUUUUUUAGCACUCCAGUCGAAGUUCGUCGGAGAGCCUCCCCGAGCUUGAGAGGGGGGGGCGUAUUGUUAGACAAAUAUAUCUUUAGGCUUAAUAAAAUACUGUUAGUUACAAAUGUAAUAUAAAUAGAAUUGCAUGACUCUUUACAACGGUCGGAUUGUAUUUUUGAUUUUCUCAAUACAAGAUUAGUUUUUUGAAAUCACACUCUGUUUAGGAAUUUAACAUGGUAUCAGUUGCUUCUUUAAGAGUUGAUUAUAACUAAUUAACAAGCGAUUUUGUUUCCCCAAAUCGCCCUUCUUCCCCAAAUUUAUUUCUUUUCUCAACGUGAUUCUUGAAGAAAAGUUCUUCCCUGACGUUAUUUCUGUUCUCAACGAUUUCGUCUGACGCGAUUCCAUGAAGCGUCUUCUCUGACGUUAUUUCUCUCCGUCACGAAGCGUCUUCUCUACGCGAUUCCACGAAGCGUCUUCUCUACGUGAUUCCACGACGUGCUUUCUCGUUUUGUGAUUUGCAAUUUGUGAGAUUCCUGCGAUUCUGUGAGAUUUGCGAUUCUGAUUUUGAAGGGUUGACCCCUGCGAGUCUGCACGCAAUCUUCUCAUCGUCACUUCUGCGUGAUUCCCAUUUCGCGAUGACACGAUUCCAGAUUUAAUUAAUUCCAGAUUUUCUGCACGGUCUAGAACGAGUUUUUCCGCGAUUCUUUAUCUUGAUUCUUCGGGCAGGUCUGAUUUUAUUUUAUUUUUCCCUUAGUAAAUUUUUUUCCCUGUGCUUUUACAUCAGACUAGUAUGUAAUCCGAUUCAUGUUCUUCUGGAUAUCCCAAGACCACCGAAUCAAUUCCAGAUUACUUGCAUAAGUGUCGCAAUGGAUCUACAUAUCUCCUUGAGCGAAGUGAUACUUAUCUAACCUGGAAGGCAUAGAUGUAGAAUCUUCUUCGAAUUCAUGACUUGACAUAUUUGAUUACUGAACCACUGAUUAUUCCCUCAGAAAAGCUUGCUGAUGGGUCUCUCAAUCCAGCUUUUAAAAUUUGGUGUCAAAAGAAUUGGAUUGUUAUAGGUUGGAUUCAGGCUGCAGACUGCAGUUGGGUCACCAAUGUUUUCCUUAGUAUUGAAUCACGAUACUACGUUAGAUUGUUGGAAGACACUCGAGCUAUAUCUUUCUCCACGCAAGAUAUGGUCCAUUCACAAAUUAACAAUUCGAGAUGAACUGUGUCAUCUAAAGAAAUUGGAUAACGAGACUAUGUGAGAAUUUAUCAUCAAAGUUCGAGCAUUGAUGGAUGGGCUAGAAACAUCAAGUGGUUGUUUAUCUGACAGAGACAAGAUCGAUUUUGUGAUUGAUGGUCUGGGUGUGGACCUCGUCCCUUUUUGUCAUGUAUUCACUCAUAGAAAAAAUAUGGUAUUUGAUGAAUUUAUUCAUCUUGUUGUUAAGGAAGACAUUUUUUUUCGUCGUUAAACAAAUCAAAACUCUGCAAUUAUCAACGAAUCACCAACAACAUUCGUCGCAAAAUCUAGAUUUUACAAAAAACAAGAAUUAUAAUAACCGCAACUCUGAUCAUCGUAAUAAAGAAUCAAACCACAAAAAUGAGAAAUUCAGCAACAAAGGUUCAAGUAAAGGGAGAUGGAGAAAUCCAACCACCGUAGUCUGUCAAUUUUGUGAUACUCUAGAAACGUGUAGGAAAGCAAUGGCAGCUAUAUGGAAGAUGAUGGCAAAGAUAACAACUGGUUGUUAGACUCUGGCGCCUCCUCACACAUGACUCUGGCGCCUCCUCGUACAGUAAAAUUCCUCUAGGUGUAAUACACAUGGAUGUUUGGGGUCUAUCACCCAAAACAUCGAUACAUGGAUACAAAUAAUAUCUAUUAUUGGUAGAUGGAUGUACAAGAUUUUCAUGGAUAUAUCCUCUUUUAUACAAAAGUCAGGUAUUUGACUGCUUUAAGGACUUUCAUAUAAUGAUUGAAAGAUCUUUAGAAUUACAGAUAAAAUCCAUACAGACUGACUGUGGAGGUGAGUUUCUCAACUCCUCAUUUUCUACGUAUUGCAAAAAUACUAGGAUAAAACACAAACUCUCAACACCCUAUGCUUCAGAACAAAAUGGAUAAUUAGUGGAAAUAAAACAUGGUCACAUAGUCUUUGUGGCUAGGUGUUUCUUCACACAAUUAAUCUGAAGUUCCAAAAGAGUAUUGGAUGGAAGCUUAUGCUGCUUCAGUUUACACAAUAAAUAGGAUUCCAUCUAGAACAUUAGGUUAUUCUUCUCCUUUAUCAUUAUUAUACAACAAAUUAGAAUUAGAGAUUUUGGAUUUUAAAAUUUGUUUAGGUUUGUAAAUAUGAUUUUAUUUAUCAAUGUAUUUCGUAUUUAUGUUUUAAAAGAUUGGAUUUGAGUUUUGUUAGGUUGUUUGAAAGGUUUUGAAAUUAGAUAUUACUUUUUUUAGUGUUAACGUUUUGAAUGAUUUUGAGUUGAGUUUAAGUUUUGAUUUUGUUAUAGGGAUUUUAUUAUUUUAAGAUUAUGUUAAUAAUUUAAUAUAGGAAUUUGUAAUUUAUUUUGUUAAAUUAAUGUUGUUAAUGAAUUCGAUAAAUUUUAUAUAUGUUGAUAUUGUUAAUUGUAAUUAUAUUUAUAUGUUAUUGUUAUUAUCUAACUAUUAUAAUUUAAAUAAUUAAAUUUUUUAAAAUUAUAUUUAAUUUAUUCUCGAUCAAAUAUUUUUAUAUAUUUAAAAAAUAUAUAUAUAUAAUUUUAAAAAAUAUAUUUAAAAUAUAUAUAUAUUUUUUAUAUUUCAUUAAUAAUUUGAUUAAAUAAAAUUUUAAAGUAACAAAAUAAAAAAUAACUAAAUUAAUUAGUGUAAUAUUAGAUCAAUAGUUAAUAUUUUUUAUUUAUAAUUUUAAAAUAAAAAAGAUUAAUAAAGAUUUUUGGAGGUGAAAUUCCAGCAAAAUAAUUUCCAAAAAAAUCCACAAAAAAAAUUUCCCGCCAAUAUUUUUAUAGAAAAUUUAAUUUCUCGUGAAAAUGUGAGUAUUGGUGGCGGAAAUCCGCCACGAAAAAUCUACCAUACAAUGUCUCUUUUUUUGUAGUUAAUCAUCAACAAUUAGGAUUGUGAUAUAAUUCCAAUCAGCUAUGAGGAAGUAUCAGAGUGUAUCCAGUCGGAGGGGGACAGUGAAAUCGCGGAAUCCCUAACUGGGGAAAGAUUGGGGAUGAACGACGACAGUCCAGAACAGCUUAACCGUGGCGAACCCGGUCAACCUUCCACAAGCAUGAGAGAAAGAAGUCGGCCCACUUGGAAGAUUACUUAAUGGGCUAGGGGAGGAAUUGGCCCACUUGAAGAAUUUAUGUUUGUUUUUAAAAUUGCUAAAUAGACCUUAAGUUUAAAUUUAAUGUUGUAAUAGUCAGUAGUAGAAUGUUUUAAUGAUUGGAAAAUCAGUAUCGAAAAUUGAACCAAAUAUUCCUGUUCUUGCGCAAACUUCCUCUCAAACCCUACAUCCGGCGUUGUGUCGAGUACCUCUCCACCCCUCCCAUCAAAAUCCGUCCGGUCUGCCUCAACUUCCAGCCGCAUUGAGCCCUCUGCUGAUUGGUUUAACAACCGUGAUCACCCAGAGCUAAGACUCAAUAUCAGGGAUAUAUUCCCGCCGUGAACUACCUUGGACACCUAAAAUCUCUGAUCUUAGAUCUAGGGCAUCAUCGACCUCAGGUCAAUUCGUUUUUAAAUUUGUUUAGGGAUUUAGAACCCUAUCACUGGUGCUUUCAAUAUUUGAUCUCUCAUUUCAGGAUGUCUACAAUGGAUUUAACAACGAAUCCAGACUUUCAAAGAUUACAGACACUACAAAUGUCUCAAAUCAAAGAGAUAAGCGAAUUCAGGAACAAUGUAAAUAACAAUUUCUUGGAGUUAGGGAGGCAGAUUAGUGAAAUUUGUUCCACACUCAAAGAAAAGCCACCAGAUACAAGUAAAAUCAAUCUGGAGAAUCCUGAAAUUGAAGGAAAUGCAAAAGAAAAACCUAAAUCACAUCAUCUAUUCUACCAGUCAGUGGUAGACUUAGAUAACCUGGAUUAUGCAAGUAGCAUUAUGAAUAAUGACUCUUAUGAACCGGCCAAGCACAUAAAGGUCAAUAUGCCAAGGUUCGAUGGCACUGAUGCAGAAGGAUGGCUAUUUUCAGUACGAAGGUACUUUAUAUUCAAUAAAAUACCUGAAGAUCAGAAACUGGUUAUUGUAUCAUUUCAUUUAGAUGGGAUAGCAAAGAAAUGGUUUGCUUGGCUUGAAGCAAGCAACAUGCUAUCAUUUUGGAAAAACUUUGUGGAUGCAGUUAUCAGGAAAUUCACAACUUGACACUACUCCCUACCUGGUGGCAAGCUAAGUAAACUAUGCCAAGAAGUUACAGUGGCUGAGUACCAAGCUCUGUUUGAAGAACUAUGCACUAGGGUAUUGGGCCUACCAGAAUAUUUUAUUUUAGAGAUGUAUAUUUCUGGCCUUAAAGAAGAAAUUCAGCCAGAAGUGAUUUCAAAAAAGCCAUCUGAUAUUCAUGAAGCUUUUGAGCUAUCUCUCAUAUUUGAGGCAAGAAAACCAAGGUUUAAAGGCAGCAACAAGCCUUUCUAUACAAAACCAUUCAUACCAAAGACUACACCAUUCAGUUUCAAGCCUGGCCAAAUAGAAGUAACCCCAAAGGAAGCUAACAUACAAAAACCUGUGUUUAAAAGACUAUCUCCUGCUGAAAGAAAGGAGAGAACUGCAAAAGGGUUAUGUUUUAACUGUGAUGAUAAAUUCAUUCCGGGUCACAAGUGUAAAGGAAAUUUUUUCAGAAUGUCGACAGAUGAAUUUUAUUUUUAGGAGGUGGUUGAUGAAGAGGAAACUGAGGAGGAACCUGAAAAUAUAAGUUCUGAGGAUCGGGAAAUCAGCUAUCAUGCAUUUGAGGGUCAUAUUAAUGCCACUACUAUCAGACUAGAUGGGUUCAUAAAAAGUCAGUGUGUGAGUGUUCUAUUAACUACAGGCUCAACACACAACUUUAUGCAAACUGAGGUAGCAGCUGCACUAAAAUUAGUUCCUCAUGUCAUAGUACCAUUUAAAGUAUCUACGGGCAGUGGAAAAUUGAUCUGUGAGGCUGUUUGCAAAGAGGUAGAGAUUAAAAUUCAGAACACAAUUGUAAAAAUGGACAUUUUUCUACUUCAGAUGGAAGGAGCCAAUGUGGUGAUUGGGAUUCAAGGACUGAAAUCUUUAGGACCAGUUACUUUUAAUUUUGAUGAUUUGAAUGUCUUUCCUAAAAGAAGAGAGAUUAUUUGGCAGGGUUGUCCAUGGGAUUCUGAAGACCUCCUAUCUGUGGGUAAGUUAAAGUGUCUUAUUGCUUCAACACAAGAGGCUUACUUAUGUUAUAUGGAAAGGGUAGAAGAAAACGAGAAAGUUCCCAUUUUGAAUUCUAAUAGCCAAGAGGUAACUGAAAUUGUACAACAGUACACUGAUAUUUUUGAAACACCAACAAGGUUACCACCACAAAGGGACAGAGACCACUUUAUACAUCUUGAGAAUAAUUCCAACCCUAUCAAUGUGAGGCCUUAUAGGUACCCACAAUUUAAGAAAUCAGAGAUUGAAAGGUUAUAAGUUGCUGAAAUGAUGACUCAAAAAAUUAUCAAGCCCAGUACUAGUCCCUACUACUCCCCAGUACUGCUAGUAAAAAAGAAAGAUGGGGUUUACAGAUUAUGUGUGGAUUAAGAGCAUUAAAUGCCCUAACUAUCAAAGAUAAGUUCACUAUCCCUACUGUGGAUGAACUCCUUAGAGAACUUAAAGGAUCUAUUUUUUUUCAAAAUUAGAUCUAAGAUCAAACUUCCACCAGAUUAGAGUCCAUGCUCCUCAUACUGAAAGGACAGCAUUCAAAACUCAUCAGGGGCACUUCGAAUUCUUAGUGAUGCCAUUUGGGCUCACAAAUGCACCAGCAACAUUUCAAUCGGUUAUGAAUUCAGUUUUUGCUAAAUAUUUGAGAAAAUUUUGUACAAUCAAAAUUGUCGAUAUAAGAUUAUAUUUUAAUUCAUGUCAAUUUAAACCCUAAUUACACUAUUAAUCUAUAGGGGUUAAAUAAGUCAAUCGAUAUUAAACCUAACUCCAAUUAAUUAAUUAAUCAUUUGAGUUAAAUGUUUAAUUCAAAGUUAAAAGUCAAAUUGGAAUAAUUGCAUCUUUACCUUGAAUAUUAUUAUUAUUAUCUUUUGACUCUUUAUUCAAGGUAUAAUAUUUCAAGGGGACAAAACACUAUUCACGUUUGAAUUUUUUCAAAGAUAAGAUUCUCCAACAAACACUAUUCAAGAUAAGAUCAAAGGCAAAGCUUGGAUUUAUGUGAGAAAUCAAAGAGCCAUCCAUUGAAGAUCCAAGGGUGGACAUUGAGUGGCCAAGGCUAUAAAUAAAAAGGUAUUCCCCUCAUUUUCACUCACCACACUACAAGCAAUCAAAGAGUUUUCACUCCACAUUUGAGAUCACACGUUUUUGCCUCCAAGCUUCCAAGCAUCCAAAGUGCUCAAGUGUCCUAGCUUUCUAAAGUUUCAAAAGCUCUCCAACUUCUUCUUCUAAUCUUCUUGUUCAUCUCUACAAGUAAGAAGUGUUGUUUGCUUAAAUAUUCCACUCCUCUAAUCACCUCUUGUAUGUGUCCACUUUGUUCGAGAGGUUUCCGGGAUAACCUCUAAUAAUCAAAAAGCUCUAAGUUUGGUUUUAUAGAGUUUCCGGGAUAACUUUUAGGUCAAUCUACCUUGAAAGAUUUCUAGGUUCUUAAGAGUUUCCUUAAUUGAUGGCCAAACAGAAAUUGAUGGCCAAACAGAGGUAAUGAACAGAACGCUGGAGAUGUAUUUAAGGUCUUGUUGUCAUGAAGACCCAAAACAAUGGUUGGGGUUACUACCUUGGGCAGAAUUGUGGUAUAAUUUAAGGUAUCACUCAUCACUUGGAAUGACUCCAUUUAAGGCAGUUUAUGGGAAAGAAGCUGAUGAACUACCACAUUACAAUGCAAGGGAAUCUCAAAUUGAAUCAGUAGACACCCUAUUGCAAAUCAGGGAGGAGGUUCUGGAAAUUAUGAAAAAAAAUCUAGCAAAAGCACAAGCAAGGAUGAAAUCACAAGCUGAUAGAAAAAAGGUAUGAUAUCACAUUUAAAUUGGGAGAUUGAGUGUUGGUGAAACUUCAACCAUAUAGACAAAUAUCAGUAGCUAACAGGAUUCACAACAAAUUAUGUCAAAAAUAUUUUGGACCUUAUAAAGUGGAAAAAAUAAUAACAAAGCUGCAUACAGACUCAAGCUACCUGAGGGAAGCAAAAUUCAUAAUACUUUUCAUGUCUCAAGAUUGAAGGCAUUCAUAGGUCCAAUUCCAGAAAAUUCGAGCAAAGGGGAUCCUGUAAUUUCUGUCCAAAACCAACCAAUUACAUACCCAUUAGCAAUACUGGAAAGGAAAAAGUAAAUCAGAUACUAAUUCAAUGGAAUGGAGCAUUACCUGAGGAUUCUUCUUGGGAGUCUAUGGCGGACAUGGCAGCGGCAUUUCCUUCUUUAAACCUUGAGGACAAGGUCGUCUCUAGAGGGGGAAGUGAUGAUAUAAUUCCAAUCAACUAUGAGGAAGUAUCAGAGUAUAUCCAGUUGGAGGGGGGCAGUGAAAUCGCGGAAUCCCUAACUGGGGAAAGAUUGGGGAUGAACGACGACGGUCCAGAACAGCUUAACUCUGGUGAACCUGGUCAGCCUUCCACAAGCAGCAGUAGACCUGCUAGGGAGAGAAAGAAGCCGGCCCACUUGUUUAAUGGGCUAAGGGAGGAAUUGGCCCACUUGAAGAAUUUAAGUUUUUUUAAAAAAAAUUGCUAAAAAG
rnacentral:lncRNA from 1 species